GAUGAACGCUAGCGAUAGGCUUAACACAUGCAAGUCGAGGGGCAGCAUGGUCUUAGCUUGCUAAGACUGAUGGAGAGCGGCGCACGGGGGCGUAACGCGUAUGCAACUUGCCUGACAGAGGGGGAUAACCCGGCGAAAGACGGAGGAAUACCGCGUACACUGCAUCUUGUGCAUCCAAGGUAGAGGAAGUGAAAUUUGCUGUGAGAUAGGCAUGAGUCGCAUUAGCUAGGUGGUGAGGUAACGGCUCACCAAGGCGACGAUAGGUAGGCGAAGUGAGAGGUCGAUCCCCCGCCUUGGAACUGGGACACGCACAAGACUACUACGGGAGGCAGCAGUGAGGAAUAUUGGUCAAUGGUCGGGAGCCUGAACCAGCCAAGUCGCGUGAAGGACGACUGUCUUACGGAUGGUAAACUUCUUUUAUACGUGAAUAACAAGAGUCACGUGUGACUCCCUGCAUGUACCGUAUGAAUAAGCAUCGGCUAACUCCGUG
rnacentral:rRNA from 1 species